rnacentral:rRNA from 1 species
AAGCAUCUAAGCGGGAAACCUUCUCCAAGACCAGGCUUCUCACCCAUUAAGUGGGAUAAGGCCCCCCGCAGACCACGGGAUCGAUAGACCAGACCUAGAAACCUAGUAAUAGGCGCAGGGAACUGGCACUAACCGGCCGAAAACUUACAACAACA